UACGGAGGGGGGCAAGCGUUAUUCGGAAUCAUUGGGCGUAAAGGGCGCGUAGGCGGCUUCAUAAGUCUUGGGUGAAAAGCCCCUCGGCUCAACCGAGGAAUUGCCUUGGAUACUGUGAAGCUCGAGGCUGGAAGAGGGGCAGUGGAAUUUCCCCGGUGUAGCGGGUGAAAAUGCGUAGAUAUCAGAAGGAACAUCAGUGGCGAAGGCGGCUUCCUGGACCAAUACUGACGAUCAGGUGCGAAAAGCGUGGGGGAGCAAACAGG
rnacentral:rRNA from 1 species